GUUUGCCAAGGACAAGAGUUUCGAUCCUAUCAGACUUGCUAAAGUGAAUAUUUGCAUAGAACAUGCGGACAAGAGGUUCAUAUACUUUAGGUGAAAAGAUAGAGAGAAAUUUGUCCUGCCCCUUAUAAACAAAAAGUUCUUUUACCUUACAGUUGAGGGAGUCCAUACCAUCUAGAUCUACCACACGACCAUGAGCAAAUAGGUUUGUCUUGUAGGGAAAUAAAGAAAUCCCUGUUUGGGGAGUCCAAGAAAUUGAGGUCAGAUUCGAGAGAGGUAGAGAAAUCAAACUUUGGUUUCUUGGAAGAGGAGAUAGGGGAUUCAUCGAUAGGUCGUUUACCAGUAGCUUUUUCACCAAGAAGCAGAGAAUGCUCAGAAUAUGCACCUUGAGAGGAGGCACAUUCUUCAGACUUGUCGGACCUUAGGUUAACCUGCUCCGGUGGAGUAGAGGCGGGUUUUGAUUUGGAACGAAUAGGUCAUUUACUAGCGGAUUUUUAACCAAGAGGCAGAGAGUACUCAGAAUAUGCACCUUGAGAGGAGGCACAUUCUUCAGACUUGUCGGACCUUAUGUCAACCUGCUCCGGCGGAGCAGAGGUGGGUUUUGAUGUGGAACAUGUACUCUUUCUAGUGGAAGAAGAAGGAAUUUUUGGAGUUUUG
rnacentral:lncRNA from 1 species